CCGCGCCGGCCGCCGCACUGGCCGGUUGUUUUUUCCUGCGGGCGCUACCUGGCCGUGCCGUAGGUAGGCGUUUCUUGGAACCGUCACGUGAUAACGCGAUAAAGGGACAAAAACAGAUCGCGUUCCGCCGCAGCUAGGUGUUAUGUGAAGUGAAUAUUGAGAUGUGGCUGUGUGUGGUGUUUUAUCCGAUACUGGCUGUAAACAGCUGCUUUCCCGCGUUAAAUAGAAUGAAUGAAGAAAACACAUAAAAAAAGAAAUAGAAAAAAAAGGAAAACAACAAUAUUUCAAAAAUUCUACCUACUUUAUGUAUCGUUACCCCAUUUGGAAUUAUAGACAAGAUUGCAUUUUUUUAAUACGCUGCGAAUCCGAUGAAAACUAUCCAUUUAUUUAUUUAAAUAACAUUAUUGACCAAAAUAAAAUAUGGUACAGAAGGCGGACUUAAUGCUAGUAGCAUUCUCUACCAGACAACCUUUGGGAUGAACAGUGAAUCACGAACGCAAUACUUCAUUAUAGGAAAAUUAUCCAAUUCCCAAGAAAUGAAACAAGAAUCCAUAAUAAUAAAACCAAAAAAGAACCAAUAUUAAAGAGCUACAGUGGCGUUACAACGGAACAUAUAUACGAUAGGGAAGCAUAUAUUUUCAGAUAAAUAAAAGAAUUUUCCAAAUUGAUUUAUAACUGAUAAAGUUAUGAGGUCCUAUUACUUUAUAAAAACAUGACAGAUUCGAUGCAAGUCAAAUGUAAGAUAGAAAAAUAAAAUAUAUUUUUGAAUACUAAAUUAAUGCUCCUGUCAACUCAGGAUUUGCUGGAAGAGAUCUGCUACUGAGAUAAACUCGUCUGUUGUAAAUCUUCGAUCAAAAUAGUACCUACGUUGCAUUCUACGAAGAUUCGCGCAAUAUCUGUUACGACGGAUCAGUAUUCAAGAUUGGUAACGAAUUGGCCACAUAGCUCGGAGAAUCAGUUUUUUUUUCUUUCAUUUUACAAACGGAAUCAGUCAUUGACUUAAUCCACAGAGCAUUUCACUAUAUUAUUUAAGAGUCGGUACUGUCCGUAAAUUGAUGAAACUGGAAUAUGAAUCUAUGCAACCAUCUGAAAGCAACUACACAAUAAAAUUAAUAGGAUGUAAUAUUGAUUUAUAAUAUGCUUCAGUCUAAAAUAAUUAAACUAAAUUAUUAUCAUAAUGAAUGUAAACUAUGGGUAUAGAUAUAUAUAACCUAAAUAAAAAGAUUUAUUACUAUUUAUUGUAAAAUUUUUCAAAUUCAAUUAAUUGUUUACACAGAUUUUAUAUAAACAUUUUUCAUUUAUGCGAAGUGACGAAGAAUUUAUACAUCGAGAACUUUUUAAAACGCUUAACA